GUAUAUUCAUGGCCUUCUGGCUAAAAUCAAGUGUAUUAUUUUGCUUUCUGUUUAAUAUUAGAUAUUUCUUCUACUUGAUGAUACUAAAUAAAUUGUUUUGAAGUCAGGAGAUGGAAUAGGACUUGUACCUUCAUUUUAUGAAUUGUCCUGGUGUCGCAGUACCUGCUGGAUCAUUGAAUCAAAA